CCUACGGGUGGCAGCAGUGAGGAAUAUUGGUCAAUGGGCGGGAGCCUGAACCAGCCAAGCCGCGUGAAGGAAGAAGGCGCCAAGCGUCGUAAACUUCUUUCGUCGGGGAACAAAGGGCGCCACGUGUGGCGUUGUGAGUGUACCCGAAGAAAAAGCAUCGGCAAACUCCGUGCCAGCAGCCGCGGUAAUACGGAGGAUGCGAGCGUUAUCCGGAUGUAUUGGGGUAAAAGGGUGCGCAGGCGGUCCGGAAAGUCAGCGGUAAAAGCCCGGGGCUCAACCCCGGCGAGCCGUUGAAACUGUCGGACUAGAGACGGCGAGAGGUACGCGGAAUGCGCGGUGUAGCGGUGAAAUGCGUAGAUAUCGCGCAGAACUCCGAUGGCGAAGGCAGCGUACCGGCGCCGGACUGACGCUGAGGCACGAAAGCGUGGGGAUCGAACAGGAUUAGAUACCCCUGUAGUC
rnacentral:rRNA from 1 species